AGGCUUUAUCCCGAAUUUGAGCCGAUGAGCUUUACUGCCGGACAUUCCUGCACCAAAAAGGUACUCGGAAAGCUAUUCAAAUUUGAAAAAGCCAACCUGGUAUGCAGUAAAAAUGAAAAAUGGACCACCAGUUCCAUCAAGCUAGAACCCUACGCCCCUGGAGAAAUAUCGGACACGGCAAAGGGACGACCCAUUCAACUGGUGGGGAUGAAUGUGUUUUUGGUCCUUCGAACCGGAUCAGAUUGCUCGUUUGUUUUGCACAGCGCUUCGUUUCCUCAUUUCCAUUGCGCUGCUUUCGAGCGAAUGUUGGUGCAAAGGCAGCAUGAUUAAUACGACGUUAUGUGUCUUGUGCCAGGGAUCUUUUGUGCUUGCUGGAUUGUUCUCCACCCGUACCUCAAACACAAUCAAAAUGCUGGCAGAUGCUCGGUUUGGUUGAAAAAUGUUUGGCCCAGCUGUGUGCGAUGGCCAACCGUUUCGAGCAAGCAACCGAAGGGCAUGGGAACAGAAUUCCACUCUCCUCGUCGGUGGGCUGCGUCGUCGGGUACCGUACAUUGUAAAUAAUAUGCAUCGAUAAACAACACGACCAUACUUGAAGCGGAAGUGGAGCAGUGUAAGAAACGCGUAAAACACCCAACAUCCCAUCAACCGUAUCGAUAACUAGUUAUGUAAAACUAACAAAAAAAAAAAGGAAUGAAAUAUUAUUACUUGUAAAACUGUAACCGUUGGGGGAAGGAGGUGAGGAGAAAGCACUCGAUGGAGAUACAACUCAUCCCCGCGGAGAAGCAAAACCGAUGGGGACAUCUGGGGGUGGGAAAUUCAAAAACAAAUGUAUAUUUUAGAAACAAAAGGCAAAUCGAAAAGUGAUAAAACAGUUAUUUCCAAUGGGAAAAAGAAGACGGAAACGUACGAAGGCGGUAAAAGAGAAGAUGAUGUAGAGAGAAAGAGAGAGAGAGAGAGCACCCUUGGGGGAUCUCACAUUCUCUUCUCGAUCUCUUACUCCGUUACGUACGUUCCGGGAAAGUUUCCGUUCUGAUUCCUUCCCUCUACUCUUACACAAGCUCUCUCACUCUUUCUCUCUAUCCCUUUCUAUCUCUCACAAACGAUUACACAUACACAGCUCGAUUGUGUAUGCACACUUUCUUGCAAUCAUUGCUCUUUAAUCGUUUUUGCGCUAGUUUGUGAGGCAAAACGUAUUUUCGUACAAAAACGCAAGGAAAGAGAGGCACAACUUUGUGAAAGAUAUCAUUGGGGUAGGAGUAAUACAUUUAAAUAAGCAAAAACCUGAACCUUCGCGUUCGUUCGAACCGCAUUCGAUGGGAAAGAAUGAAUGAAAAGCUUGUAAAUAUUGUUGACCAAAAAAAAACACACACACACAGAUAGGAAAUAACUGUUACAUGUACACUGUAUCGCAUAAGCAUAAGAUGCACCUAUAUUAACUCUUUCUGUGGCAAUAUUUCUCAUGUACGGGCGAUCGAAUGUUUGUGUGUGUGUGUGUUUGAGUGUGCCUGUUUGUUUGGAGACUUGAGAUUUGUGUACGUGCGAGUAUUUUAACUCUGCCUUGCACUGAACGUACUCUACACUUCGACGCUGUCGUCCCUCCCUCGGCUUAAAGUCCACGCUAGCACAAAAAAAGCGAUAAAACCCCCACUUUUAAACGAAAAGCAAUAGCUACACCACUCUAUACGUAAAAAGCGUUAACAGAGUCCUGUCGAUCCAGGAGGUCGACCCAACCAGCGUUAAAUUAAACAACAAAUCUAACUACCAAUGGGACCAACCGAACGCAGCAACACAGCGUGCGAAGCGGAGCAGCAACAACAACUUUGCAAAAGCUGAUAAAAGCUUGACCCAAAGCUUUCAAGCCGAAAAAACGAACCAAAAGGCAGGAACGACACAAGGACAGGACACCGGAGCGCCGAUGGAAAAGAUGGGACAUUUGCAUGUUUAUAACGGGAAAUGAAUUUGUUAUGAAGCUUCCCAAUGCUAACCGAUGGGCCUUGGCUUCUCCUUUGGCUCUUUGGCGGUACGAAAAAGUUCAAACCUCACCACAUCGGGCGGUACAGCACAGUGGAUCCUCCUAGUACUGGACGAGCAUGUUGAUGAUGAUGUCGGUGACGAUGGGGAAACUGAUUGUUGGAGACACUGGCCGAAAGCGUGUAUGGAUUGUUUUGUGGGGAUUCUGUAUUUUUUUUCGUUUUUCACACCAUUCACAGAAGACUAACUAGAAAACAUGUUUGUGUGCUGAAACGUUAAUUUGCAUUUUAAUACGUUUCUACUGAAGUGUGCAACAAGCGGGAUAUGUGGCACGGUUACAGAGCAAGCUAUUGUUUGCUCUUACGUACUUGUAGGAUCGAGUAAUGACAACUCAAUUGACUUGUUGUUAUCACCAAACCAUCGUUUUCCCAUAACAAUGACUUUGAAUUUUAAUAGCUUUAUGUUUAAAUAAAACACAAGGCUAAUUUCAGGCUUGGUGCAAUACAGCUGUAACGCGGAUUGCAUACAUUUUGGCGCUUAAUUUUGUGUUGGAUGCAGGUGGGAAAUAUCAUUUCCUGGUGUAUAUUUUACCAUUAGAGGACACCUUCUUCCACCUUCUUAUUAAAAAACUCCUUAAAUAGACCCUGUGACUCAUGCCAGUCUUCUUUCUUCAUUUUUUGAACCCAAACCUCUACAUAAUGGUAGAAUAAUAUUCAACAAAUGUGUCCUUUCAGCUUCUACCAUUCGCCUACACCGUGGUUACACUUAUCCUACUCUUCUCAUCACUUAACCCCUAACUCUCCAGCUCGAUCCUCACUAACCAAUCUUACCGUAAGUGGUACUUUCUCACCCUAUCAGCAAUCGCUCAAGCAUUCUCGUGCUACGUGACGCACUUGACUAUGCGUCACUUGCUGGCGACAGAGGUUUUUUUUUGUGCUGAUUUUCUCACUGUUUAGUUUUUGUCCGCACAACCCACGAGAAGAUGAAAAAAAACCGAACCCACACUGCUCCCCGUAUCGAUCCCUUAUCAUUGACACCACAACUUUUCCGCCAUCGAUAGCUGUCGUUCAUCGUUUUUCACCUCCUUAAUCAAAUUCCGAUGAGCCAGCAGAACCGGGCGAACUGGGUCGUCUUGGGGAUCCUGUUGCCGUUGUGCGUGUGUGCGUGCGUAUGUUUGUGUUGAUUUGCUAUACGAGCAAAACAUUUUCAAACACCGAAAUUUUGUCUGUUGUGAAAGAAACAUGGCAACAAAAGUGUACUUUUCUGUUUCGAGGCACCGCACUCGACAGAAGGCUCCACGUGUGCUGUGGAACCAGGGAGGGGAGGGAAAAAGAGCAUUUGACAAACAUCGCCCGGGACUGGCCGUAAAGUGUGGCAAACAUUUCUUCGCCCCACGCGACCCACGGGGUGAAAAAAUUGGAAAACUUUUGGGGGAGCCAUUUCCACGUAAACCGUCCUGCUCGUUGACCUAUUUCCGGCGGCCUGUCCCGUCCUGUACGGUUCCCGGAGCCCCGGUUGAUCGCUAGAAGCCGUUCAAAACUUUUACGCCUCAGUCCUCAGCGCCUUUCUGUUUUGUUUUGUUGAGAGUGUUACUCGAUAAAGGUGAAAUGUGUUGUUUUUUGUUGCUUUUUUCGGGGAUACCUUUUCGUGCAGUAUUUUAUUGUCAGUUUUUUUUUUUUUUGGUCUCACCAAAAAACAUUCUAGCGCCUUACUCGACCGGUGCGUCGCUUGUUGAACCAAUGCUCUAUGCAAACAUCAGUCACCACAAAAAGUCACCUCUUUUUUCGCCUCCCCCCCAAAAACUGAAUCAUAAGAAACAGUAAAAGUUUGAUGAUUUGAAGCACCCCAAAACGUUUGCACCUUCCAUCCGUAUCUGAUCAUCUUUAACGACAAAAGACGUUCUGCUGCGUUCGGUAGCACAGAAAAAAAGGGGCGAGCAACAACUGCAAACAUAUGGGGACAAACAAUCAGCCCAUCAAACGGGCACACAUACGCUCGUGUGCAGAUGUACGAAUAAAACAUGCAACCUGGGAAGACUGCUUGCUCCCUCGGCAUUCUCCAACACAAACAAACCGUCAUAAUAAGCAACAAAAAAAGGCAACUUUACGCUUCUGACUCCCAACAGCAGGCGGCAGGACUGGGUGACUUUAUGAGCACAAUCAAUGGGCCGGAAAAUUUAUGCAAAUAAGCUCUGACAUUCAAGCAUUUUCCGCAUUUCUGUCUUUGUGUGCGCUUGCUAUUUGUUACGGUUUGCGCGCUGUCUGUGUGUGUUUGUGUGUCGUUUAUACAUACAGCUUUCGAAACAGCUGCGGUUGAUGCUUGCACAUAAUCAGUGGGAAACGAGGGAUUUUUUUACUACUGCUUUCAAAGACACAAAUCGUGCGAUCGUGAGGAUGGGAAACCUGAAGUGGAAAAUUUUAAAGAUACUUUGCCUUUUAACGUCUUUUUUUAUGCUAUCCUUGCGCCAGCAAAGCAAUGCAUUUAGAUAGAAGACAAAGGCACACACUUUUCCCGGGGAAAGUGAUGGAGACGCCUGGUGCUCUGUGUGAAUAUCUUUUAACGCACGCAAUAAUGGCUUUGGAACAUUACAAAAAGAGCAACCUUAAGCCCGGUAUGUGGUAUGCAGUAAAUGAGACACUAUUACGCACACAAUGCAACACAUGUGAUGAAUAGCAUUCCUUUUGUUGGUUGAAGUGAUCCUCCCAUGCAGGGGGGGGGGGUCUAUCUUAAUCAUUUUCUUUGGAGUGUGGUUUUGACAUCGUACCGAUUGCACCGUACACACAAAGAAGGGUGUUGUUUUGUGCAAGUUCAACGUUCCAUUUGUUUCACUCACUACAACCCCUCCUGAAAGGGACUCUUCGCUCAAUGUCAAAGUGUUGCUGAUUGAUUGGGACCAGACCUGCUGCUGCCGGCUGCCUUUCAGUUCACCAAUCGAGGCGUCGAGAUGCUGAUGUAGUGGAAAAAAAUAAAUAAAACGGUAAUGGAAAGUGAUAAUGAUGUGUUAAUGUUGCACCUUGCUGUGCCGAACGAGUGCCAGCUUUCGGUAAUGGGAUUGUGCCGGUUUAAGUAAGACGUUAAUGCCCCUUUGCACACAGUCCCUUGCGGGUGCUUGAUUAAUAAGUGGUGAUUUCAUGUGCCGGUAUAAGAUUGAACGGUUCGGAGAUAACUGAUGGACCGCACACACAGCUUUUGCUUUCUUUGAAUAAAUAAAUCAGUCUGGGUGUGUGAAGCAUUUCCCGCUAUUUAUUUUACUACACCAUUGAGCUGCUCAGCCGUACAAUGCACUCUUCAGCCGUGCCCAGUAAUAAUUCUUCCACGUGCUUCUCAACGCUUCAACCACUGGAACACACACAAACACACACACACAUAUUCGUCUGCCCACGGAGUGGCUUCAACGUGCACGCUACGGUAUAAGCAUUACUUCUCACUUUGAUUGAUCUGUGAUUUAUAUUAAGCAAACAGCAAUGCAUUCGCAUCGUCGGCCCGCUACUCAAGCACGCAAGCAUUGAGUUCUGUGACAACUGUGCACUUGUGGUACUCUUUCGCAAAUGGCAAUGCGACUGUAAAUAACUCACCAACCGCUAGCAAAUACACUCAACACCGAUGCGAAAGUAAUACCUAUUUUACUACACGCUGCGCUGUAUCAUUCUGCUAAUGUAAGCAAGCGUGUCUAAUGAAGGAACAAUAUAAUGAACGUUACAAACAGCAUUGUGCAACAUUGAUUGCAUACUGCUGAGAAAUCGAAAAGCUACAGCUACACCCUGAUGCAAACCCAACGCAAAGCUACUUAUACAUAACAUGAUACUAACACUCAACACAUUAAGCAAUGUUACAAACGAACAGUAAGAAUAGUUUCAUUACGUACCUAUGAACGCUAUCAAGAGAAAUCAAGCAAGCACAAGCAAGCAAGCACACAUACAGCAAAACCAUUAUGCAACACCAUACUUAUAACGCUUCCUCACAAGGGAUGAACUCUUACAAAAAAAGAAGCUUCAGGUUCGGUUUUAUUCGUAAAAUAUACUUCUCUGAAUGUGAAUAAUGUGUGAACAAAAAAGGGGCAACAACAAAAAACUGAAGAGAAGAAACGGUGGAAGGAAAAUAAUAGACAAAAUGCAAGAGGGAAAGGAAGAAAAAGAGCGAAAUUAAACAAUAACACUACACAAGUAUUGUAAAACAAAUAUCAAUUGUUCUUCGAACUUUAAUUGAUAGUUUAAAAGUAAAGCAAACAAAAAACACACAAACUUACAAGGGAUUAUUAAGAAGGUCGAUUGGAACAAAAAAAAAGGUAUAUUUGUACGGACAAAGUAUGUAAGGCAAACGCAUAACACAAAAUUGAACAUGAUUCUCAUGGAUUGCGAGGGCACAUUUGCUAGGAUACAACAAAUAAAAGCAUUAAACAAUAAACAAAAAACCACAACUAAUAUUAACACUCAUGUCAUUAAAAAUAUGCAUUUGAUAAAAACAAAACAAAAGAUACUGAAAAUAAAAGUUGUACAUUUUCUUUCCGGUUUUGUUAAGCAGAUCAGCAAAUCUAGAAAUCAGUAUCGAGUAAGUGAAACGAAUCAAAGCGAUUAGAACAAA